AGCAGCCGCGGUAAUUCCAGCUCCAAUAGCGUAUAUUAAAGUUGUUGCAGUUAAAAAGCUCGUAGUUGAAUUUCGGGGUCAGCAAGUUGGUCGUGCCACCGGUAUGUACUGGCUUUGCUGAUUCCUCCUUCUUGUAGAACCGUAAUGCCAUUAAGUUGGUGUUGCGGGAAAACAGGACUGUUACUUUGAAAAAAUUAGAGUGUUUAAAGCAGGCUAACGCUUGAAUACAUUAGCAUGGAAUAAUGAAAUAGGACGACGAUCCUAUUCUGUUGGUUUCUAGGAUUGACGUAAUGAUUAAUAGGGAUAGUUGGGGGCAUUAGUAUUCAAUUGUCAGAGGUGAAAUUCUUGGAUUUAUUGAAGACUGACUACUGCGAAAGCAUUUGCCAAGGAUGUUUUCAUUAAUUAAGAACGAAAGUUAGGGGAUCGAAGACGAUCAGAUACCGUCGUAGUCUUAACCAUAAACUAUGCCGACUAGGGAUCGGAUGAUGUUAAUUUUAUAAUGACUCAUUCGGCGCCUUAA
rnacentral:rRNA from 1 species